UGCUUCGUCUUUCAUUUCCUGAAAACAAAAAAGGGAUUAGGUUAAAUGGAUGAAACUCUUUCUUUCCAUCUGUGAUACAGAACAUUGAAACAAUGAUUCUUAUGUCUAUUCUCCACUCUCGGGUCUCUUUAAUUUCUCUUUCACUCCAUCUUUUUGUUUUUUUCUCUUGAUCGAGCAUCUCUUUUGUCAACAAUUGAUAAUUGUAUUAUUUUGAGUUUUCAAUCCCCUUAGUAUUCUUAGUCUUCCUUUGGAUCGAUUACCGUGUAAGGGAUUCGAUAGUCUUCUCGAUCUCUUCUUUGAAAAGAAGAUUGGCAGCUUAUACUACUUCAUGGCUGAGAUUGGAAGACACCUAUGUACAUGGACAAAUGCAAAAAAUAUCAUAUCCACAGUGCUGAAGAAAUUAAUAUCAAGAUUAUAUAAGAAAAAGCGCAGAUCUAACGUUUUGGAAAAAACAUAACAAUCGACUAUGAAGUUCACAGUGAUUGUACACAACUUGGUUAGCACGGUAACCCGGACUGCAAGCUUAUUGGUGGAGGGAUAUAAAUCUCCGAACAACGAAAUAACAGCCAUCGAAGACAACAGAUACUAAGG